rnacentral:rRNA from 1 species
UACGGGGGGGGGCAAGCGUUGUUCGGAAUUACUGGGCGUAAAGGGCUCGUAGGCGGCCAACUAAGUCAUACGUGAAAUCCCUCGGCUUAACCGGGGAACUGCGUCUGAUACUGGAUGGCUUGAGUUCGGGAGAGGUGAGUGGAAUUCCGAGUGUAGAGGUGAAAUUCGUAGAUAUUCGGCGGAACACCAGUGGCGAAGGCGGCUCACUGGCCCGAUACUGACGCUGAGGCACGAAAGCGUGGGGAGCAAACAGG